GUAGGUGAACUGCGGAAGGAUCAUUGUUGAU
rnacentral:rRNA from 1 species